CCUACGGGAUGCAGCAGUGAGGAAUAUUGGACAAUGGGCGCAAGCCUGAUCCAGCCAUGCCGCGUGCAGGAUGACGGUCCUAUGGAUUGUAAACUGCUUUUGUACAGGAAGAAACCCUUUCACGUGUGGAAGAUUGACGGUACUGUAAGAAUAAGGAUCGGCUAACCCCGUGCCAGCAGCCGCGGUAAUACGGAGGAUCCAAGCGUUAUCCGGAAUCAUUGGGUUUAAAGGGUCCGUAGGCGGUUUAGUAAGUCAGUGGUGAAAGCCCAUCGCUCAACGGUGGAACGGCCAUUGAUACUGCUAGACUUGAAUUAUUAGGAAGUAACUAGAAUAUGUAGUGUAGCGGUGAAAUGCUUAGAGAUUACAUGGAAUACCAAUUGCGAAGGCAGGUUACUACUAAUGGAUUGACGCUGAUGGACGAAAGCGUGGGUAGCGAACAGGAUUAGAUACCCUGGUAGUCCACGCCGUAAACGAUGGAUACUAGCUGUUGGGCGCAAGUUCAGUGGCUAAGCGAAAGUGAUAAGUAUCCACCGUGGGGAGUACGGUUCGUCGAAGAAUUGAAACUUCAAAGUAGAAGUUGGACGG
rnacentral:rRNA from 1 species